rnacentral:rRNA from 1 species
UGAAACGAGAAGACCACGAGUUAUGAUCCAGAGUACCACGAGACACGUGAAACCUUGUGGGAAGCAGGGAGGACCACCUCCCAAGGCUAAAUACUACCUGAUGACCGAUAGUGAAGCAGUACCGUGAGGGAAAGGUGAAAAGAACCCCGGGAGGGGAGUGAAAUAGAACCUGAAACCGUGUGCCUACAACCGCUCAGAGCCCCUUAUGAGGGUGAUGAGGUGCUUUUUGUAGAACGAGCCAACGAGUUACGGUAUGUAGCAAGGUUAAGUACUUAAGGUACGGAGCCGAAGGGAAACCGAGUCUGAAUAGGGCGACUAGUUGCAUGCCGUAGACCCGAAACCGGGUGACCUAUCCAUGGCCAGGUUGAAGCGAGGGUAAAACCUCGUGGAGGACCGAACCACGUUGCUGUUGAAAAAGCAUGGGAUGAGCUGUGGAUAGCGGAGAAAUUCCAAUCGAACCCGGAGAUAGCUGGUUCUCUCCGAAAUAGCUUUAGGGCUAGCGUCGAGUAUGAGUAGUGGAGGUAGAGCACUGAAUGGGCUAGGGGGCAUAGCGCUUACCGAACCUUAUCAAACUCCGAAUGCCACAUACUUUGAGCUCGGCAGUCAGACUACGAAUGAUAAGAUCCGUGGUCAAAAGGGAAACAGCCCAGAUCGUCAGCUAAGGUCCCAAAGUGUAAGUUAAGUGGGAAAGGAUGUGAGAUUUCUAAGACAACUAGGAUGUUGGCUUAGAAGCAGCCAUUCAUUAAAAGAGUGCGUAAUAGCUCACUAGUCGAGAGAUCUUGCGCCGAAAAUGUAACGGGGCUAAACUUACCACCGAAGCUACGGGCUUGAACUUAGUUCAAGCGGUAGGAGAGCGUCGUAACCGGGCUGAAGUCGUACCGUAAGGAGCGGUGGACUGGUUACGAGUGAGAAUGUUGGCAUCAGUAGCGAGAUGUGGGUGAGAAUCCCACAGGCCGAAAACCUAAGGUUUCCUCAGGAAGGUUCGUCCGCUGAGGGUUAGUCGGGACCUAAGCCGAGGCCGAAAGGCGUAGGUGAUGGACAACUGGUUGAUAUUCCAGUACCACUACCAUCGUUAUUAUCGAUGGCGUGACGCAGGAGGAUAGUGUGUGCUAGCUAUUGGAUGCUAGUCUAAGCGUUUAGGCAGUGAGAGUAGGCAAAUCCGCUCUCAUAAUGCU